rfam:Schistosoma haematobium scaffold80_5, whole genome shotgun sequence.
AUCCAGCUGAGGAGUCCCACAAUAGGACGAAACGGCCGCCCAGUGCUUCCAGGGU